rnacentral:rRNA from 1 species
AUACGGAGGAUGCGAGCGUUAUCCGGAUUUAUUGGGUUUAAAGGGUGCGUAGGCUGUGCGUUAAGUCAGGGGUGAAAUGCCGUCGCUCAACGACGGAGCUGCCCUUGAUACUGGCGUGCUGGAGUACGGAUGCCGUUGGAGGAAUGAGUGGUGUAGCGGUGAAAUGCUUAGAAAUCACUCAGAACACCGAUUGCGAAGGCAUCUGACGAAUCCGUCACUGACGAUGAGGCACGAAAGCGUGGGGAUAGAACAGGAUGAGAUACCCUGAUUUUACACGCCGUAGACGAUGAUGACUAACCGUCGGCGAUAGACAGCCGGUGGCCAAGCGAAAGCGAUAAGUCAUCCACCUGGGGAGUACGUCGGCAACGAUGAAACUCAAAGGAAUUGACGGGG